UACGGAGGAUCCAAGCGUUAUCCGGAAUCAUUGGGUUUAAAGGGUCCGUAGGCGGGUUUAUAAGUCAGUGGUGAAAGCCCAUCGCUCAACGAUGGAACGGCCAUUGAUACUGUAGAUCUUGAAUUAUUAGGAAGUAACUAGAAUAUGUAGUGUAGCGGUGAAAUGCUUAGAGAUUACAUGGAAUACCGAUUGCGAAGGCAGGUUACUACUAAUGGAUUGACGCUGAUGGACGAAAGCGUGGGGAGCGAACAGG
rnacentral:rRNA from 1 species